CGGCACCCACCCUCGGGUGGAAGCGAGUGGCGAACGGCUGAGUAACACGUGGAGAACCCGCCCCCUCCUCCGGGAUAGCCUCGGGAAACCGUGGGUAAUACCGGAUGACCCCGCAGGGCCGCAUGGCCCCGCGGGCAAAGCCCAGACGGGAGGGGAUGGCUCCGCGGCCCAUCAGGUAGACGGCGGGGUGACGGCCCACCGUGCCGACGACGGGUAGCCGGGUUGAGAGACCGACCGGCCAGAUUGGGACUGAGACACGGCCCAG
rnacentral:rRNA from 1 species